CAAUCCAUGAGUACAGUGGCGACCGGGUGAGUAACACGUGACUACCUACCCUUGAGUGGGGGAUAACCUCGGGAAACCGAGGCUAAUACCGCAUAAUAUCGAGAGAUCAAAGGAGAAAUCCGCUUUUGGAGGGGGUCGCGGCUGAUUAGCUAGUUGGUAGGGUAAUGGCCUACCAAGGCGAAGAUCGGUAUCCGGCCUGAGAGGGCGCACGGACACACUGGAACUGAAACACGGUCCAG
rnacentral:rRNA from 1 species